GUGCUCUCGUAGGUGGCACGUAGGCUACAAUUGGAAUGAUACAGAGAAGGUUAGUGUGGCCGAUGCACAAGGAUGACAUGUAAUUCGCGAAGGAACUGGGCUAAAAGUU
ensembl:snRNA U6 U6 spliceosomal RNA